rnacentral:rRNA from 1 species
AGCGAACGCUGGCGGCAGGCUUAACACAUGCAAGUCGAGCGGGCAUAGCAAUAUGUCCGCGGCAGACGGGUGAGUAACGCGUGGGAACGUACCUUUUGGUUCGGAACAACACAGGGAAACUUGUGCUAAUACCGGAUAAGCCCUUACGGGGAAAGAUUUAUCGCCGAAAGAUCGGCCCGCGUCUGAUUCGCUAGUUGGUGAGGUAAUGGCUCACCAAGGCGACGAUCAGUAGCUGGUCUGAGAGGAUGAUCAGCCACAUUGGGACUGAGACACGGCCCAAACUCCUACGGGAGGCAGCAGUGGGGAAUAUGGGACAAUGGGCGCAAGCCUGAUCCAGCCAGGCCGCGUGAGUGAUGAAGGCCGUAGGGUUGUAAAGCUCUUUUGUGCGGGAAGAUAAGGACGGUACCGCAAGAAUAAGCCCCGGCUAACUUCGU